rnacentral:rRNA from 1 species
AUGAGUACUCCUCUACGUUGUACUACCGACGAUUUAGACUGCAAUUAUGGGAUCGCUCUCAGCUGCCAUGUUGACGUCGGCAUGAGGGACGUUGAUUGGGUAGCGAUGUAUGCACCCCGCCCACGCCUUGUCCAGCCUGGCUGCCGGGCGGAUGCAAUCCCACACGGCGCUGUUGCACUUGACCCCAGCUCCGAGGCCAACCAUCCAGACACGGUCGCCCUUCCGCACCUGGCCCUUGGGCUCGAGGUACGCCAUCUCGUACCACACCGAGCUGCUCGACGUGUUCCCGAACCGGUGAAGCGCCAUGCGAGAUGGCUCCACGUGCUCGUCCGACAGCCCGAGGCCAGACUGGACCUCGUCGACGACCGCGCGCCCCCCUCCAUGGAUGCACACGUGAUGGGACGCCUUGCACAAGUCGGGGACGUAAGGCUUCACCUUCACGCCGCCUCGCCGGCCCAGCUUGAGCAGCAGCUUGUUGGCGACGAAGCGCAGCUACUCGAAGAAGGGGAGCACGAGCGGGCCAAGGGCUGUGAUGUUGGCCUUGAGCGCGUCACCGGCGACGCACAUGAGGUUCCUGGAAAGUUUGACCCCUAA